CACUUUAUUUAUAGAUGCAAUACAUUUUGAAAGCAGAUCAGUGUGCAGUAGUCUGUGAUUGUAGUAGAAUUCUAUAAAGCACAUGUUUCACAUCACUGCCCUAUUUAUAUUGCAGAUGACACUCCUUCAACAAGUGGCAAUGAAUUUCUCAGUAAGAAAACCCAAUUAUUUUGCUUUAGAUCAGUUGUAUAUAGAACUUUCUGCGGAUCAGUUUGAUUAACUUUCAACUUCAUCCAUUACAGGUGCAGCAGAGGCCUUUGGUAAGCCAAGAAACUACUACAGCCUCAAGUAAAGAAAAGGCAAUUUCCAUUGAAUGAUAAACGUUUGGACCAUGGCAAAUCAUUAUUGAGGUUAGUUAAAAAGUGAAGCUAUGUGUAUGACUAUCAGCAAUAUAUUAAUAAUUAACUGUCUAAAAAGGCAUAUUUUUUCAUAAACUUUGCUUUUUCUCCUUGAUGCUAGGUCAGAAUGGCUCCCAUGGAGUGGAAACCAAGAACUCCGAGAAGGUGUGGACGGUACCAGAAGUUAAUAAUGGACGAAGCUCCACCUCGAAUCAUCCUGCAAGGCCAUGAAACCUAUGAUGAUUUAAUUACCAUAGCCAAAGAACGCUUCUGGCCAGAGCGUACUGAGGGGAGUGAGUUCACUCUUUGUCAUUCUGACGGACCAGGUGGAGUAAGGAGGAUUUCCACAAAGAAUACAGAACUGUUUCUGAUAUUACACAUCUGUGGAAAAGAACACUAUACAUCGGGCGAAGACAACUGGAUGAACUUCCUGAAACCCUCAUAGGACAAAAUGUUGCAGAACAGUGUAUCUUCCACGUGUUCCAUAUGUGGAAGAGGCUUUAAUUACAUACAGCGAGGACAAUCUACUGGGAGAAGGGACAUUUGGCAAGGUAUAUAGAGGUUCUUUUCAUGGUACUCCAGCAGCUGUUAAAAGGAUCGUGUGUGGC
rnacentral:lncRNA from 1 species